rnacentral:rRNA from 1 species
GAUGAACGCUGGCGGCGUGCCUAACACAUGCAAGUCGAACGGAAAGACAGUGAGCUUGUUCCCUUACCGUUGGCGGCUGGCGGGUGAGUAACGCGUGCAUCACAUUCUUCUUUUUCGGGGAUAAUUACGUAAGGAAGGUUACACUACUACAUCAUAUGUUGAACCGCUGAGAGCAGUGGAUAAUGACGGCUUUCGUGUCUGUAUUAGCCGGUGCCGCAUUAGCUAGUUGGGUGGGUAACGGCCCACCAAGGCAACGAUACGUAGCCGAUCUGAGAGGAUGGUCGGCCACACUGGAACUGAGACACGGUCCAGACUCCUACGGGAGGCAGCAGUAGGGAAUAUUCGGCAAUGGGCGAAAGCCUGACCCAGCAAUGCCGCGUGAGUGAAGAAGGCCUUCGGGUCGUAAAGCCCUGUUGUUGGGGAAGAACAGCUGUGGGAUAAUACAUGGAUGUUUUGACGGUACCCAAUGAAAAAGCAACGGCUAACUACGUG